rnacentral:rRNA from 1 species
CUGAGAGGGAGACCGGCCACACUGGGACUGAGACACGGCCCAGACUCCUACGGGAGGCACAGUGGGGAAUAUUGCACAAUGGGCGCAAGCCUGAUGCAGCGACGCCGCGUGAGGGAUGACGGCCUUCGGGUUGUAAACCUCUUUCAGUAGGGAAGAAGCGAAAGUGACGGUACCUGCAGAAGAAGCGCCGGCUAACUACGUGCCAGCAGCCGCGGUAAUACGUAGGGCGCAAGCGUUAUCCGGAAUUAUUGGGCGUAAAGAGCUCGUAGGCGGUUUGUCGCGUCUGCCGUGAAAGUCCGGGGCUCAACUCCGGAUCUGCGGUGGGUACGGGCAGACUAGAGUGAUGUAGGGGAGACUGGAAUUCCUGGUGUAGCGGUGAAAUGCGCAGAUWUCAGGAGGAACACCGAUGGCGAAGGCAGGUCUCUGGGCAUUAACUGACGCUGAGGAGCGAAAGCAUGGGGAGCGAACAGGAUUAGAUACCCUGGUAGUCCAUGCCGUAAACGUUGGGCACUAGGUGUGGGGGACAUUCCACGUUUUCCGCGCCGUAGCUAACGCAUUAAGUGCCCCG